CCUACGGGUGACUGCAGUAGGGAAUAUUUCACAAUGGGGGAAACCCUGAUGCAGCAACGCCGCGUGCAUGAAGAAGGAUUUCGGUUUGUAAACUGCUAUCAUAAGGGAAGAAAAUGACGGUAACUGAUUAAGAAGCACCGGCUAACUACGUGCCAGCAGCCGCGGUAAUACGUAGGGUGCAAGCGUUAUCCGGAGUUACUGGGUGUAAAGGGGGCGUAGACGGCAAAAAAAGUCUGGAGUGAAAUUCCGGGGCUUAACCCAGGAACUGUUUUGGAAAAUGUGCAGCUAGAGUGCAGGAGAGGUAAGUGGAAUUCCUAGUGUAGCGGUGAAAUGCGUAGAUAUUAGGAGGAACACCAGUGGCGAAGGCGGCUUACUGGACUGGAUCUGACGUUGAGGCUCGAAAGCGUGGGGAGCAAACAGGAUUAGAUACCCUGGUAGUC
rnacentral:rRNA from 1 species